rnacentral:rRNA from 1 species
UAUAAACCGAAGCUGCGGCAAUGAAGUUUACUUCAUUGGGUAGGGGAGCGUUCUGUAAGCCGUUGAAGGUGUGUUGUAAAGCAUGCUGGAGGUAUCAGAAGUGCGAAUGCUGACAUGAGUAACGAUAAAGGGGGUGAAAAACCUCCUCGCCGGAAGACCAAGGGUUCCUGUCCAACGUUAAUCGGGGCAGGGUAAGUCGACCCCUAAGGCGAGGCCGAAAGGCGUAGUCGAUGGGAAACGGGUUAAUAUUCCCGUACUUCUUACAAUUGCGAUGGGGGGACGGAGAAGGCUAGGUGGGCCUGGCGACGGUUGUCCAGGUUCAAGUGUGUAGGCUGAAGAGUUAGGUAAAUCCGGCUC